rnacentral:rRNA from 1 species
UACGAAGGGGGCUAGCGUUGCUCGGAAUCACUGGGCGUAAAGCGCACGUAGGCGGAUUGCUAAGUCAGGGGUGAAAUCCUGGAGCUCAACUCCAGAACUGCCUUCGAUACUGGCGACCUUGAGUCCGGGAGAGGUGAGUGGAACUCCGAGUGUAGAGGUGAAAUUCGUAGAUAUUCGGAAGAACACCAGUGGCGAAGGCGGCUCACUGGCCCGGUACUGACGCUG